GCCUCGGUAGCUCAGUGGCAGAGCGCGCGAUUCAGGAGGCAACAAAGGAUGGUUCGAGUCGACCGUGGGGCG